rnacentral:rRNA from 1 species
AGUGAACGCUGGCGGCGUGCUUAACACAUGCAAGUCGAACGAUGAUGCUCUAGCUUGCUAGAGCGGAUUAGUGGCGCACGGGUGAGUAAUGUAUAGCUAAUGUGCCCCUUAGAGGGGGAUAACAGUUGGAAACGACUGCUAAUACCCCAUACUCCUUCUUCCUAUAAGGGAAGUUGGGAAAGUUUUUUCGCUAAGGGAUCGGGCUAUAUGGUAUCAGCUUGUUGGUGAGGUAAUGGCUCACCAAGGCUAUGACGCCUAUCUGGUCUGAGAGGAUGAUCAGACACACUGGAACUGAGACACGGUCCAGACUCCUACGGGAGGCAGCAGUGGGGAAUAUUACACAAUGGAGGAAACUCUGAUGUAGCAACGCCGCGUGGAGGAUGACACAUUUCGGUGCGUAAACUCCUUUUAUGUGAGACGAUAAUGACGGUAUCACAUGAAUAAGCACCGGCUAACUCCGUGCCAGCAGCCGCGGUAA